CAGACAGGGAAACUGCGUACGGCUCAUUACACCAGCCUUAAUUUACUUGACCUUGACAACCUACUUGGAUAACUGUGGUAAUUCUAGAGCUAAUACAUGCACCAAAGCUCCGAUCCUCGCGGAGAGGAGCGCAUUUGUUCGCCACAAAACCAAGCCCCCAUCUGGGCGUCCAGUGCUGAACCAGAACAACUCAGCUGAUCGCACGGUCUUGUACCGGCGACGUGUCUUUCCAACUGUCUGCCUUAUCAACUUUCGAUGGUAGUGUACCUGACUACCAUGGUUGUGACGGGUAACGGAGGAUAAGGGUUCGACUCCGGAGAAGGGGCCUGAGAAAUGGCCACUACGUCUAAGGAUGGCAGCAGGCGCGCAAAUUACCCACUCUCAACGCGAGGAGGUAGUGACGAGAAAUAACGAGACCGUUCUCAUACGAGGCCGGUUAUUGGAAUGGGUACAAUUUAAA
rnacentral:rRNA from 1 species